CCCUUUUUUUUCCUUCUAUAAAAUUUAUUUGUAAACGAUUUUGUGUCUUAAUUUGUGUUUGCUAAUUAACUGCGGUUCAUGCUGUCAAAGGUAAAAAAUGUCUCCUUGUGUAUAAGUUAUUGAUAAAAAAAUAUUUGAAGCCGCCAGAAGAAUAAAUCAUUUCCUGAACUUAAAUACAUUUAUCUGUAAAUAAAGACAAUUUGCCUAAAACAUUCUCUCAUAUAUUUAAACAAUUGUAAAAAUAAUUAAUUCAACGACUUUCUUUUACUUUUUACUUUUCUUCUUCAGUUUUUUUUUUACCCAUUGCUCUUCAAUUACUGAUCACAAAUUUUUCGGAUGCUUUUUAUCCUAUUUUCGUAUCGAACUUACAUGUUAGCAGUUGAACGGAAUUAAGUACAUUUUUCAGGAAUUUACAACUUAAAUUUUCAACAACAAAAUUCCACACUUUUUUACUGGGAUUUUUUUUUUUCUGUUUUGAAGGCGCCACCAGUGACCCCGUAGCACACACAUAACCAACACCUCACAUGGCGUAUUCACGAUGUUGAGGUAUUGACAUACAAUCACAUUUAUCAAUAUACAGCAAGUAGGUAAUUUGGUGUUGAAUGCCAGUAGGUCAGAAUUUGUUAAUUGAAUUUUACCUGUAAAAGGGUCACUAGCUGUCAAAUUCAUGUUCAUCGAUUUUAAUCAAAUUCACAUAACGUGUGGUGUUGAAUUGUUUAUUAAAAUUCCACGCACAAUCUUGGCUGAUAUGCAUAAAACCAUUAUUUCAUGAACCUGCAUGAAAUAUUGACUUAUCACAGAACUAAAAAAAUAAACCACCGAAAGUCCACAUAAGAGAUCAUAAGAGGGUAUAGAGAAUAACGGGCAAAGAAAAAAAGGAAUAAAGAAUAGUGAAAGAAAGAGAAUAAUGGUAAAAAGUGUAAGUCAUUAAAAAUAUAGCUUAAAAAAAAAGAAGCCUCUUGCAUCAAUUUGAGGAAUUUACCCAAGAUUAAUUUUACGGCGGCUUAUUUUAUUUUGGAUUAAAAAUAAACACAAUUGACAAGUUUCCUUCCCCUGCAUUUUCGAUCGCACAUGUAAAUAGCACGUUGGUCUCAAAUAAGACACUGAUACAUUACAACACACUUGCCGUCAGUAUUUGAAAAUAUUAAUUAAGAAGGUAUAGAAAAUUAAUGCACGCACACUAUUAUCCACCACAGGCCUAAAUCGUUAGUCCGCAAACAACGAGGGUGAUAAAAAAAAGCACUUUGAACACAGCCACCGGCAUGCUAUGAAUUUGAAAGCUUCCCAAAUUAGUAACUAUCAAGUUCUAUUA
rnacentral:lncRNA from 1 species